rnacentral:rRNA from 1 species
UACGUAGGGUGCGAGCGUUGUCCGGAAUUAUUGGGCGUAAAGGGCUUGUAGGUGGCGUGUCGCGUCUGUCGUGAAAUUCACUGGCUUAACUAGUGAAGUGCGGUGGGUACGGGCAUGCUUGAGUGUGGUAGGGGAGAUUGGAAUUCCUGGUGUAGCGGUGGAAUGCGCAGAUAUCAGGAAGAACACCGGUGGCGAAGGCGGAUCUCUGGGCCAUUACUGACGCUGAGGAGCGAAAGCGUGGGGAGCGAACAGG